rnacentral:rRNA from 1 species
UACGGAGGGUGCAAGCGUUAUCCGGAUUCACUGGGUUUAAAGGGUGCGUAGGAGGGCAGGUAAGUCAGUGGUGAAAUCUCCGAGCUUAACUUGGAAACUGCCGUUGAUACUAUCUGUCUUGAAUAUUGUGGAGGUGAGCGGAAUAUGUCAUGUAGCGGUGAAAUGCGUAGAUAUCGAGAGGAACACCUGCGGCGAAGGCGGGUUGCUGGGCUGAUACUGACGCUGAGGCGCGAAAGCGUGGGGAGCGAACAGG